rnacentral:rRNA from 1 species
UCAAUUCUACUAGAAUUCUCGGCCGCCACGGGGCUCCAAAUAAAUUUUCACAAGAGCACCUUUGCCCCUAUUCAUGUGGAUGAUGCUCUCGCCUCCUCUAUAGCUGCGGUGCUGGGCUGCCCUGUGGCCUCCUUCCCUCAAAGCUACCUGGGCAUCCCUCUAUCCACUCACAAGCUUAACCUAUCGGUUUUUUUCUUCAUCAGAGACAAAGUGGAUCAGAGACUCGCUGGUUGGCGGGGCCUGCUCCUAUCCUUAACCGGCAGGGCAAUCCUAGUGCGGGCAGUCCUUUGUGCCCUCCCACUCUAUGCGAUGUCUGAUCUUCUGCUUCCUUUAGGUACAAUCGAGGCCAUCGAUAGUCGCUGUCGGGCUUUCUUCUGGGCAGGAUAG